rnacentral:rRNA from 1 species
GAUGAACGCUGGCGGCGUGCUUAACACAUGCAAGUCGAACGGAAAGGCCCAAGCUUGCUUGGGUGCUCGAGUGGCGAACGGGUGAGUAACACGUGGGUGAUCUGCCCUGCACUUUGGGAUAAGCCUGGGAAACUGGGUCUAAUACCGGAUAGGACCAUCGUUUAGUGUCGGUGGUGGAAAGUUUUUCGGUGUGGGAUGAGCUCGCGGCCUAUCAGCUUGUUGGUGGGGUAAUGGCCUACCAAGGCGUCGACGGGUAGCCGGCCUGAGAGGGUGUACGGCCACAUUGGGACUGAGAUACGGCCCAGACUCCUACGGGAGGCAGCAGGGGGGAAUAUUGCACAAUGGGCGCAAGCCUGAUGCAGCGACGCCGCGUGGGGGAUGACGGCCUUCGGGUUGUAAAAUCCUUUCGCCAAGGACGAAGCGUUUUGUGACGGUACUUGGAGAAGAAGCACCGGCUAACUACGUG